rnacentral:lncRNA from 1 species
CCCUCACAAUUAGAAGAGGCCAAUUCCUAGGCCCUCUCAUCCUCAGAAGCUCUCUCUCACAAUCCUUUCAGAAAUACAAUAAUCAGUGUGGACGUAGCCCAAACAUUGGGGUGAACCACGAUACAUCUUGUGUUAUUUACACUUUCUUGCAGAUUCACAGUCGGAUUUACGUUGUUCCAAGACCUCCGGUUUUGUGCAUCAACAUUUGGCGCCUUCUGUGGGAAUCGAUACGAAAAUUUGUGUCGGUUCUCUUUCAUUUUUUCACCUCCACCAUGAAUCUGCAAAAUCUGGAAGAACCCAAAAACCUCACUCUUUGAGCUUUUCCAAAAAAAAAAAAAAACUGUCGCAGACCUCCAACCACCUCUCUCUCCUCUCUCAGCCAGUUACACACUGAAACCAAAAACAAAGAAAGAAACAAAUCCACUCAAUAAAUGUGAAAAAUCGCCAUGAAAAUGAAGGCAAAGAGCUCCAGAGCAAAGUUGGGCUUACCCACCGUCUUCCUCCUCUGCUCCCUCUUCUUCUUCGCCGGUUUAUUCAUCUCCACCCUCCUCUCCCAUGCCUCCGUCCCUCGCUUAAUCUCCAGAACUCUGGAAUCCG